rnacentral:rRNA from 1 species
UAAUUCUGGAAUGACUAGUCACUCAAAAGGUUAAGAGGAAUGGCUCUUAAUUCGCCAAAGGAUGGGUCUGCGGCGGAUUAGGCUGUUGGUGGUGUAAAGGACCACCAAACCUAAGAUCCGUAGGGGCAUUGAGAGAUGAUGCCUCGGGAAGGACACUUAGACAAGGGUCCUAGCCCUAAGGGGUGCAGCAGGUACGAAGCCUCCACAAUGCGCGAAAGCGUGAUGGGGGAACUCCAAGUGCACUAUCAUAUGAUAGUGCUGUGGCGAAGCGUAAAUAACUUCGCAAGAAAGGGGUGGGCAAGACUGGUGCCAGCAGCCGCGGUAAUCCCAGCACCUCGAGUAGUGACCAUUAUUAUUGGGCCUAAAGUAUCCGUAGCCGGAUUAUUAAGUCCCUUGUGAAAUCGUGCAGCUCAACUGUACGGCGUGCAAAGGAUACUGGUAACCUAGAGACCGGGAGGGGUUGAAGGUAUUUCUAGGGUAGAGGUUAAAUUCUAUAAUUCUAGGAGGACCAACGGUGGCGAAGGCGUUCAACUAGAACGGUUCUGACGGUGAAUGGAUGAAAGCUGGGGUAGCAAAGCGGAUUAGAUACCCGUGUAGUCCCAGCUGUAAACGCUGUCCGUUAGGUGUUGCAUGCUCCUAGAGGGCAUGCAGUGUCGAAGCGAAAGCAUUAAACGGACCGCCUGGGGAGUACGCUCGCAAGAGUGAAACUUAAAGGAAUUGGCGGGGGAGCACAAU